AGAAAAUAUUAACUCGGUGACUUCUGUCACCACAUUGAGCGCCAUGAUGUUUCCGGCUAAUCUAACUAGCUAGGCAAGCACCCUCUUCCUUCCUCACCCCUCUGUGGGUGCUCCUCCUUACCCAGUAGAUAAGGUCGGUUCUUUGGUCAAGGUCAUAUAAAUAACUGGAAAUCCCCUGCUAAAACCUCCAGACAAGUUUCUAGGGUCCAUACAAAGCACAUAGGGUAGUGGUAGGUCUAAGACUCUGGGCAUACGUAAACGAGGUACUCUAUGUGGUCUCCCUUC
rnacentral:snRNA from 1 species